UCUUCCACUGAAAUCCCCAGAGCACAGCUCCUCACCAUGGACUGGAUGUGGAAAAUCAUCUUAUUGGUGGCAACUGUGAAAAAUGUCCAUGGCCAGGUGCAGCUGGUGCAGUCCAGGGCUGAGCUGAAGAGGCCUGGGGCCUCAGUGAAGGUCUCCUGCAAGGCUUCUGGAUACAGCUUCACCAGUUACUGGAUCAGCUGGGUGCAACAGAGUCCUGGCCAGGGUUUGGAAUGGAUAGGAAACAUUGACCCAAGUGAUGGUUAUACUAAUUAUGCUCAGAAGCUCCAGGGCAGAGUCACUGUCACUGCUGACACGUCCUCCAGCACAGCAUACAUGGAGCUGAGAAGCUUGAAGUCUGAGGACACAGCCGUGUAUUACUGUGCAAGACACACAGUGUGGUGA